GCCAGGUGUAGUAUCGUGUGCCUGUAGUCCCAGCUACUCAGGAGGCUGAGACAGAAGAAUUGCUUGAACCCUGGGAGAUGGAGGUUGCAGUGAGCCAAGAUCGUGCCACUGCACUCCAGCCUGGGUGACAGAGCAAGACUCUGUCUCUUAAAANNNNNNNNNNUUUUAAGAGACAGAGUCUUGCUCUGUCACCCAGGCUGGAGUGCAGUGGCACGAUCUUGGCUCACUGCAACCUCCAUCUCCCAGGGUUCAAGCAAUUCUUCUGCCUCAG
rnacentral:SRP_RNA from 1 species